rnacentral:rRNA from 1 species
AUUGAACGCUGGCGGCAGGCCUAACACAUGCAAGUCGAACGAGUGGCGGACGGGUGAGUAAUGUCUGGGAAACUGCCCGAUGGAGGGGGAUAACUACUGGAAACGGUAGCUAAUACCGCAUACCAUCGGAUGUGCCCAGAUGGGAUUAGCUAGUAGGUUGGGUAACGGCUCACCUAGGCGACGAUCCAUAGCUGGUCUGAGAGGAUGACCAGCCAGACUGGAACUGAGACACGGUCCAGACUCCUAGGGUAGGGAGCGGUGGGGAAUAUUGCACAAGGGGCGCAAGCCUGAUGCAGCCAUGCCGCGUGUAUGAAGAAGGCCUGCGGGUUGUAAAGUACUUUCAGCGGGGAGGAGUUACCCGCAGAAGAAGCACCGGCUAACUCCGUGCCAGCAGCCGCGGUAAUAC